AGGCCAUUGCUAUCGGGGUCCGAUUUAGCCAUGCUAGUUGUACGAGCUUACACUCGUAGCAAAUAGCUCCGUAACACGUGGCCAAACUACCCUACAGAGAACGAUAACCUCGGGAAACUGAGGCUAAUAGUUCAUACCCGUCUCGCGCUGGAACAGCGAGACGCGCAAAUGUUCCGACGCUGUAGGACGUGGCUGCGGCCGAUU
rnacentral:rRNA from 1 species